GUGCUCACUUUGGCAGCACAUAUAUUAAAAUUGGAAUGAUGCAGAGAAGAUUAGCAUGGCCCUAGUGCAAGGAUGAUACACAAAUUUGUGAGGCUUUCCAUUUAAAA
rnacentral:snRNA from 1 species